rnacentral:misc_RNA from 1 species
CCAAUAGCGUAUAUUAAAGUUGUUGCAGUUAAAAAGCUCGUAGUUGAAUUUCGGGACCAUCAUGUCGGUCGUGCCUCGGUACGUACUGGCAUUGUUGGUUUCUCCCUUCUGACGAACCAUGAUGUCAUUUAUUUGGUGUUGUGGGAAAUCAGGACUGUUACUUUGAAAAAAUUAGAGUGUUUAAAGCAGGCUCACGCUUGAAUACAUUAGCAUGGAAUAAUGAAAUAGGACGUUUGAUUCUAUUUUGUUGGUUUCUAGGAUCGACGUAAUGAUUAAUAGGGAUAGUUGGGGGCAUUAGUAUUCAAUUGUCAGAGGUGAAAUUCUUGGAUUUAUUGAAGACUAACUACUGCGAAAGCAUUUGCCAAGGAUGUUUUCAUUAAUCAAGAACGAAAGUUAGGGGAUCGAAGACGAUCAGAUACCGUCGUAGUCUUAACCAUAAACUAUGCCGACUAGGGAUCGGAUGAUGUUAAUUUUUUAAUGACUCAUUCGGCGCCUUACG